GCAGCUGUCGGAGCUUCGACGGGAUUCUGGUGGUCGGGUUCGGAGUCGCUUCCCGUGUCCGCAUCCAAAGCAGGACCGGGUUGCACGAAUCUCAGUGCCUUCCGAACCCUCUUCGGCGUAAAAGAAGUCCAGAAGAAGGGACCAUUCCUGAGAAGAUCCCUCACCGAAAUGAUGUCCUCGGGGAAUGGAGCAAAAGGAUUGAUGAAGGGACGAUCAUUCGGCAACCUCCGGAACAAUGGAAUGCAACUCUCUUCGAUGGAUGCAGCGUCUAUACGGACAAAGAAAAAGAACUUCUUCCACGAGUUGAAGUUCGAAAUAAACUUCUUAACCACUGACAUAAAUUUCCG
rnacentral:lncRNA from 1 species